rnacentral:lncRNA from 7 species
AUGGCAGCACCGGGCCCCUCACUCUGCGUUGCCCACAGGAGCUGCUGCCCACCUGCGUGGGUGCCGUGCCCUCAGCCCCAUGAGGUGGUGUCUGUGAUGUCACAGUGGUGUCAGGGAGUGGCCAUUGUGACACGCGGGGCCGGGAGCAGAGCAAAGGCUGCGGGGCUGGGGCCGUGCUCAGUGCGGCCUGGUGAGGCGUGGAGAGAGCAGCGACUCUCUUGUUUCUCGCCGUUGAUGCCGACCAUGUCGAAAGGGAAGGAGGAGGCCCCCAACUCUGGGGAGCCAGUGUGCAUGCUGUGCCGCCGGGCACAGGUCAACCCGGACAUCUGCGGGCAGACAUUUGCCUGUGGUGGGCUCUGUGCCCACCAGUUCUGCUUGUUCUUUGCCAAUGGCCUUUUGGAAUGGAGAAGCCCAGUGGGGGAAAUUUUUGGCUUCUCCAUUGAUGCCAUCCAGCGCACAAUCCAGCUGGCAGACCAGAAGGUGAGGAUCUGAACGGAACAGGGAGGUUGGUGCCGACAGAGGCUCGCACCGGCUUUGCCUGGGCCCAAAGAGAGCCAUCGCGGCCCUUCCAACGGGCUCCAGGACAAAGUCCCACCACAGCAGAUGAGCCUCAUCUGCCAGGCAGCUCUGCAGAGUGCGAGGCAGCGGUGCCCACACCCUGCGCCCGGAGAAGUGGGGCUGGCUGCGGAGGCACCACCACUGAUGGGGGCUGCUCUGCUCUUUCCAGCACUGCUUUGUCUGUGGCGGGAGGGGAGCUUCCAUCAGCUGCGCGGA